AUUGAAUGGCUCAGUGAGGCCUUCGGACUGGCUCAGGGAGGUCGGCAACGACCACCCAGAGCCGGAAAGUUGGUCAAACUCGGUCAUUUAGAGGAAGUAAAAGUCGUAACAAGGUCUCCGUAGGUGAACCUGCGGAGGGAUCAUU
rnacentral:rRNA from 1 species